GGUGAGAGUAGCUCAGCGGUAGAGCGCUGGUUUGUGGGACCAGAGGCCGAGAGUUCAAGCCUCUUCUCUCCCC
rnacentral:tRNA from 1 species